AUACGUAGGGCGCGAGCGUUGUCCGGAAUUACUGGGUGUAAAGGGUGCGUAGGCGGGACUGCAAGUCAGAUGUGAAAUGCCGGGGCUCAACCCCGGAGCUGCAUUUGAAACUGUGGUUCUUGAGUGAGGUAGAGGUAAGCGGAAUUCCUAGUGUAGCGGUGAAAUGCGUAGAUAUUAGGAGGAACAUCGGUGGCGAAGGCGGCUUACUGGGCCUUUACUGACGCUGAGGCACGAAAGCGUGGGGAGCAAACAGGAUUAGAUACCCUGGUAGUCCACGCUGUAAACGAUGAUGACUAGGUGUGGGGGGACUGAACCCUUCCGUGCCGCAGUUAACACAAUAAGUCAUCCACCUGGGGAGUACGGCCGCAAGGUUGAAACUCAAAUGAAUUGACGGGG
rnacentral:rRNA from 1 species